CGGGAGGCAGAGCAGGCAAGAUGUCGGCAUAGCUGAAGGUGUUUGAAACGGCUAUGUCUCAUCCGGCCAACUUAAGCC
rnacentral:pre_miRNA from 15 species